UGAAGCUCUUCUGCACCAUUAAAGGAUAAACCCUUUUUAUUCUACCGGACCUGGGACCCAUUUCUUCAUUACCUAAUCGCCUCUGCAUUUUCCGGGAUGAUAUAUGAGUCAACAAAACAACAGCCUGCUGACACUAAUGGACCAGUCAGAGUGGAUUAACAAUCCCACCACUAAAAGCAAACCUCGCUCUCCUAAGUUUUAAAUGGACUCACCCACUGCCAUGUCCAGCUUCACACCAAUCCAGAUCCCCUUGGCAAACUCCACCCCUCCCA